AACGAACGCUGGCGGCAGGCUUAACACAUGCAAGUCGAGCGCCCCGCAAGGGGAGCGGCAGACGGGGUGAGUAACGCGUGGGAACAUACCCUUUGGUUCGGAAUAACUCAGGGAAACUUGAGCUAAUACCGGAUACGUCCGUAAGGAGAAAGAUUUAUCGCCAAAGGAUUGGCCCGCGUCCGAUUAGCUAGUUGGUGAGGUAACGGCUCACCAAGGCUACGAUCGGUAGCUGGUCUGAGAGGAUGAUCAGCCACAUUGGGACUGAGACACGGCCCAAACUCCUACGGGAGGCAGCAGUGGGGAAUAUUGGACAAAUGGGCGCAAGCCUGAUCCAGCCAUGCCGCGUGAGUGAUGAAGGCCCUAGG
rnacentral:rRNA from 1 species